rnacentral:tRNA from 1 species
GGCGGAGUAGCUCAGGUUGGCAGAGCAAGCGGCUCAUAAUCGCUGUGUCGCCGGUUCAAAUCCGGCCUCCGCUA